rnacentral:rRNA from 1 species
UGCCACAGCCAUAUCACCCUGCAGCCCAAGACUGGUUGCCCACUGAAGCCAAGCAGGGUUGAGUCUGGUCAGUACCUGGAUGGGAGACCUCCUGGGAAAACUAGGUUGCUGCUGGAA